rnacentral:rRNA from 1 species
CGUAGGGGGCAAGCGUUGUCCGGAUUUAUUGGGCGUAAAGCGCGUGUAGGCGGCCAUACAGGUCCGUUGUGAAAACUCGAGGCUCAACCUCGAGACGUCGAUGGAAACCGUAUGGCUAGAGUCCGGAAGAGGAGAGCGGAAUUCCUGGUGUAGCGGUGAAAUGCGCAGAUAUCAGGAAGAACACCCGUGGCGAAGGCGGCUCUCUGGGACGGUACUGACGCUGAGACGCGAAAGCGUGGGGAGCGAACAGGAUUAGAUACCCUGGUAGUCCACGCCGUAAACGAUGGGUGCUAGGUGUGGGGGGUGUCGACUCCCUCCGUGCCGCAGCUAACGCAUUAAGCACCCCGCCUGGGGAGUACGGCCGCAAGGCUA